ensembl:miRNA
CUUGGCUUCAAAAGCAAACUCCAUGGCCUCAGAACUUUAAUCUUCAAAGGCUGCUGGAGAAGAUAUUUUGAAGACAAG